ensembl:snRNA Gm25806 predicted gene, 25806
AGCUUUCCAUAGUGGAAUUAUUGCAGCCAGUGAGGUUUAUCUGAGGCGUGGUUAUUGCUAAUUGAAAUUAUAGAUGCUGUCCAAUUGUUUUAUAGUAUUUUACCCACACCUUUUUCAAAAGG